UACGUAGGGUGCAAGCGUUGUCCGGAAUUAUUGGGCGUAAAGAGCUCGUAGGCGGUUUGUUGCGUCGGCUGUGAAAUCCCGAGGCUCAACCUCGGGUCUGCAGUCGAUACGAGCAAACUAGAGUGUUGCAGGGGAGACUGGAAUUCCCGGUGUAGCGGUGAAAUGUGUAGAGAUCGGGAGGAACACCGGUGGCGAAGGCGGGUCUCUGGGCAUCUCCUGACGCUGAGGCGCGAAGCGUGGGGAGCAAACGGGAUAGAAACCC
rnacentral:rRNA from 1 species